GAGGAUGUAGCUCAGUUGGUAGAGUGCUUGCCUCACGUGCACCAGUUCCUGAGUUCAAUUCCUAGCACCAUCC
rnacentral:tRNA from 1 species